AAACAUGAGUGUGAUCUGCGUCCUCAUCUGGACUCUCCUCUGCUGCUGCUUCACAGAGUCCAGAGGACAGGUCACAGUGACUCAGCCUGGAGCAGUGAGCUCCAAUGUGGGAGGAUCUGUCUCCAUCUCAUGUAGAACCAGUCAGGAUGUUCAUGGCAACAUCAAUUUAGCCUGGUAUCAACAGAAAGAUGGAGAAACUCCUAAACUACUGUUUUAUUAUGUUGGCAGCAGAGUAUCAGGAACUCCAAGUCGUUUCUCGGAUGGUGGAUCAAACUCUGAUUUCACUCUGACCAUCAGUGGAGUUCAGGUUGAAGAUGCUGCAGUUUAUUACUGUCAGAGUCUUCACUACAUCAACAGUCAGUAUGUGUUCACACAGUGAAAAACAGUCGUACAAAAACCUCCCUCAUUCAGGCUGAACAGAAACUGAACUGACUGCUGCAGCUGGAAGAUGCUGCAGACACUGAUACAGUUCACUGAACAUCCAUUCUAACAAACACUCACAAUAGAUAUCUAAAGUUAAGACAUAUGAUACAGCCGCCUUGGCCGUUCCAGGGAGGAGCGUGGUUCCGACUCACAAUCAGAAUAAUACUCGUGGAUUUCCUUUUGUAAUAUCAAAAUGACUUAUUUUCAAAAUGAGUCCGUUGUUGGCUUCCUGUAACAAAAAAUGGUCAGUGUCUUUGGUGUUCUGUUAACUAUUUCUUUGGGUUAUCUGCUCUCUUUGCGAUUAUAAAAAAAAAAAAAAAAAACUUCUUGCUCCUCCUCCUAACCUCCAAGCCACGUUAAAUGGGCUCACCUUGCAACAGGUGGGGUCUGAUUGUGAGUAGGAGCAAAUCAAAUCAAAAUAUAAAUAACUAAACAUAAAUACUCUUAUUUACUCUAUCUAUCUAUCUAUCUAUCUAUCUAUCUAUCUAUCUAUCUAUCUAUCUAUCUAUCUAUCUAUCUAUCUA